GAGCGACAGGAGCAGGGUAUCUUGCCAAGCGGGGGUGGGCACGGAGCAUCAGAAAGAAAUGAGCUGUGUUACUACGCUGAGCCACUGAGGUUUCACGGUUGUUAUCCAUCAUCCAGCCCGUCCUCACUAAUAUACCUGCCUCGCCAGGAAAAGAUAGAAUCCAGGUGAAGCAAGACUUGGCUUGUGCCCAUUCAGAUUGUCCGCCCGAUGCUCUGGUGUUGUGUUCAGCUGGGAUCUCCCCAUGAGCUGCAAGCUGUAUGGGCUUGCACAGACCAAGAGGCUUACAGUGGAAAGAGAGGAUGCCUGCAUCUAGAACCUUCUUCCCAUCUCUUUUCAAGAAUAUGCCAACAUGACCCCGGUUACCCUGCAGGCCUUGGCUCCACCUACAGAAGUCUGCUACCUACAGAACUCUUUGC